GGCCCAGCUGGUACUUCUGGACCACGUGGCAUGCAGGGCAACAGGGGCGCACCAGGAAUCAGGGGGUCACAGGGACCGGCGGGUAAAGAACCAAGCGAUCAACACAUCAGACAAGUCUGCAUGAGAGUUAUGCAAGAGCAACUAGCCCAGUUGGCUGCCAGUCUAAGGAGGCCGGAGUCUGGAGCAGCGGGCCUGCCUGGUAAGCCAGGGCCUCCUGGUCCUGCCGGACCCCCAGGGA